AUUGAACGCUGGCGGCAUGCUUUUACUACAUGCAAGUCGAACGGCAGCACAGGGAGCUUGCUCCCGGGUGGCGAGUGGCGCACGGGUGAGUAAUACAUCGGAACGUGUCCUAUAGUGGGGGAGUAACUAGUCGAAAGACUAGCUAAUACCGCAUGAGACCUGAGGGUGAAAGUAGGGGAUCGCAAGACCUUGCGCUAUUGGAGUGGCCGAUGCCCGAUUAGCUAGUUGGUGAGGUAAAGGCUCACCAAGGCGACGAUCGGUAGCUGGUCUGAGAGGACGACCAGCCACACUGGGACUGAGACACGGCCCAGACUCCUACGGGAGGCAGCAGUGGGGGAAUUUUUGGACAAUGGGGGCAACCCUGAUCCAGCCAUGCCGCGUGCAGGAUGAAGGUCUUCGGAUUGUAAACUGCUUUUGUCAGGGACGAAAAGGACUGUGCUAAUACCACGGUCUGCUGACGGUAACCUGAAGAAUAAGCACCGGCUAACUACGUGCC
rnacentral:rRNA from 1 species